UGGGGAAUUUUGGACAAUGGGGGAAACCCUGAUCCAGCCAUCCCGCGUGUGCGAUGAAGGCCUUCGGGUUGUAAAGCACUUUUGGCAGGAAAGAAACGUCAUGGGUUAAUACCCCGUGAAACUGACGGUACCUGCAGAAUAAGCACCGGCUAACUACGUGCCAGCAGCCGCGGUAAUACGUAGGGUGCAAGCGUUAAUCGGAAUUACUGGGCGUAAAGCGUGCGCAGGCGGUUCGGAAAGAAAGAUGUGAAAUCCCAGAGCUCAACUUUGGAACUUCAUUUUUCACUACCGGGCUAGAGUGUGUCAGAGGGAGGUGGAAUUCCGCGUGUAGCAGUGAAAUGCGUAGAUAUGCGGAGGAACACCGAUGGCGAAGGCAGCCUCCUGGGAUAACACUGACGCUCAUGCACGAAAGCGUGGGGAGCAAACAGG
rnacentral:rRNA from 1 species